GGGUGUGAGGGUGAUCUGGCUGUGACAUCUGUCACCCCAUUGAUGGCCAGGGUGGAUUCAGCUGAUCAGGCUGGCUAGGCGGAUAUCCCCUUCUUCCCUCGUUGCUCCAUGUGUGUCCCUUCUGAAGCUGCACGCUCCGAUGACCUUCCCCAAUAGAGGAGGACCAUCCUUCACUCAAGGGCAUACAAGUAACUGCGCUCCCUCCCUCGGACCUCCAGACAAGCUCUCAAGGUCCAUUUGUUGGACACCGUAGGGUAGUCAAGCUCCCAAGACUCCAGACACAACCAAUGAGAUGUGGCGUGUGGCAGUCUGCCUUUCU
rnacentral:snRNA from 1 species